rnacentral:rRNA from 1 species
AGCGCAGGCGGGAGAACAAGUUGGAAGUGAAAUCCAUGGGCUCAACCCAUGAACUGCUUUCAAAACUGUUUUUCUUGAGUAGUGCAGAGGUAGGCGGAAUUCCCGGUGUAGCGGUGGAAUGCAUAGAUAUCGGGAGGAACACCAGUGGCGAAGGCGGCCUACUGGGCACCAACUGACGCUGAGGCUCGAAAGUGUGGGUAGCAAACA